CCGUGAGAACAUUUGAUAACAUUUUUUAGUCUAUGAGUUCAAAAAACACGCGUGUUUGUUAUUAAAAUACAAAUUACCCACCUAACUUCCCCCACCAUAUUAUGUCAUUCUCUCUCAACUCAUAUGGAUCUAAAUUGACAGUACUGGACCACCACCGGAAACCGUCGGGAACCACUAGACCACCGCCAAACCAUCGACUCCAUAUUUGCUCGUUCACGACCUCCCCAACCUCUAAUCCUCCCACAAUCGGAAGCCAACUCCUCAUAUGGAAAACGGAGGUCGCUAUGAUGAAAAUAUGUAUACAAUAAUUUGGAAUCUGAGAAGUUGCUUAGCUGGAAAGGUAAUUAAUGCAUGUAUCACUGGAGAUGGGAGUUCCUUUUUAGAUAUUAUCAUCAACUUCAUAUCGUAGGAGAUGGUAGUUAUAUUAGAAAAGAAAGCACGACGGCCACCACAAUUAGUCAUCAAACUAUUUGGUUUGCAAGCUAAUGUGCGUUGAACUGUUGAUCAUUGUUGGAUGAGUAAAUAGAGGAAAUGAUGUGGAAGCAUCAACAGAAAAAAAAAGCCACCAUCAGGUGGAGAAACUGACUCUACACAUUUGAAAUAGUAAGUAGGGGCUGAUUUGAUGAUGACAAAAAGCUUUGCAAGGACCUGUUUAGAAAAGUGCUUAAUUUUGGAUGAGUUACAUUUUGAUUGCCAAAGAGUGGUCAGUGGCAUUACAAAUCUAUGUUCUUGAAAAGGAAAGGAUCCAUCUUGCUCACACUAUCUGAUUUUCAAGUUCAAGAAGGUUCUUGAAAAGGAAAGGAUACAUCUUGCUCACACUAUCUGAUUUUCAAGUUCAAGGAGGUUCUUGAAAAGGAAAAGAUCCAUCUUGCUCACACUAGUUGAUUUUCAAGUUCAAGGAGGUUCUUGAAAAGGAAAGGAUUCAUCUUGCUCACACUUGCUGAUUUUCAAGUUCAAUUAGGUGAGUUACACUAAGUCUCCUAUUAUGUGUACGUCAUCACGUAUGAUUUAUGUGGCUAAGAUUCAUUUUCGCAUUAUCGAUUCAAUAAUUGUGUUUUUUUUCCACUUUAAUGAUAUGUGAUUAAUUACAUUUAAUCAGAUGUGAUUAUAUUUUUCUAAUUACAUAUGAUUUUAUUUGGAAAAAACGAAUCUUGUCUAUAUAAAUCAUUUGUGAUUAGAUACAUACAAUCACAUGUGAUUAUAUAGACGAUAACAGUUAUUGAACCAAGAACACGAAAACAAAUCUUUAUCCUAAUUCAUUUUCACUUUGUUGAUUCAAUAGUUGUUUUCAUGUAUUUUAUUACAUGUGAUUAUAUGUAUAAUCGUAUGUGAUUAAGUACAUGAGCAUGACUAUUGAAUCGAGAAGGCAAAAAUGAAUCUUGUCCACCUCAAAUCAUAUCUGAUUAUAUACACCUCAAUAGCCUACUAAUUAACCAACAAUCAUAUAAAAAAUGAUUAACUUUAGGCUUAACCAUUAAGUCCUUAAUAGAACACCAAAAGUGAUUUAAAAGCUAUUAUGAUCAAUUUUUCCAAAUCUGUCCUCCAACUUCAAAAAUUCGUGCAAGUCAAUAAGAACACCUAAAAAUCAUGAGACUUAUUUUUCUGGAAAUAUUAGUGUGUCUAGUUGCUUCAAACUUUGAAUCACAUUUCGGAAUUCCAAAACCUUAAGGGGUAAAAUUGGCAAUCUUCUCAGGUUGGUCCAUGCUAUCAUAGAUUUCAUGCAUUGUUUUCAAAAAAAAUCAUAAUAAAUUCAUUAGAACACCAAAUGCAAAAAGGUCAAAUCCUAUUGUUAGAUAUGGAUCUAUCAUCCCCUACAUAUAAAGAGACUGAUGUAAUUCUUAGUAGAUUGGUACAAUUUAUUCCAAAAGUGUUGAGUGGUCCAGAAAGUGACAACUUAAAGUUACUAACUUGUAAAUUUAAUAUAAAAUCAACCAAAAAUCAUUAGAACGAGAUAUUUAUAUUACUGAAAAGAUAAAAGGGGAAAUUUACCAAUAUUAUUUUAUAGAAAUUUAAGAAUGGGUUGAAAGGUAUGAAAACAGAUCCCAAAAUGAGCACUACAAUCAAAGAGAUUUCACCAUAAAGGUCCAAUCUUGGGACCCUAAAUGAUUCCAAAACUUCACCAUCGAAGAUCUAAGCACUUAAGAGACAAGCUCAAGACUUUUUACCUCAACAUAGUAUGGAAUGAAGUAAUAACCCCAGAUCUAUGAGCUCCAGCUUCCGAAGUCCUUCCUUCUUCUUUUCUUUUUCCAAGCUUACACCACUAAAUGAGCUUCAUAUGGAGAAAAUCACUCGAGAAUGAAGGGAUAGGGGCGUUUUAGGGUAUUCUGAGGGUAAGGGAACAGAUAAGGAGGCUAGGGUUAGGACCAAUAUGUUCUAUAUAUAGUGGCACACCCUAAAAUGAGGGUUUCCGGUAACUGGAUGUACGUUCGGCGUACAUCCUGUACGCCAGACGUACGUCAGAAGGCACCCUCGACCAUUCCUUUCAUACGUUGGGCGUAACCCAUGUUAUGCUGGGCAUACCCACACGCCUCCUACUUUGCAUGCAUGGCCCCCUUCUAUGCCAACUUUUCCACUAGGGACCAUUUAUGUCAAAAAUUUCAAAGUGCCAUGUCUUCCUCACCCGAUGUCCGUUUCCAUCAAACUUUAUAUCCACGAAAAAGGUAACGAGAAGCUCUACACUUGUAUCAACUUUAUUUCCCAUAAGCCCACUCGAACUCAGAUCUAAAAUUCAUGAAAAGUCCUAACCGACACCUAUGAUACCCUUGGGACCUAAGGCACAACCCGAACCCGUUUAUCACACAAUACACCCUAUCCAUAUCCAAGAAGGCCUAAACAUUUCUCCUUCAAAAUCUCGAAACCUUCUCAUAUUCAGAUUACGGCCCACAAGUCUUGAAUCGCAAACAAUCUGAAACAGGAUGUUACAGGUCAACUACCCGGACCAAACCCUCGUGAUGGAUCUAGGACAAAUCCUUUUCCAAGGCUCUCCUUGUCGAUGCCUUGACGCCAACUACUCACUUUAUUUUCUCCCCUGCCACCAGAUCUCACACUUGCUUGGAAAAACGCUCCACUUUCCCAUCCAAGCUAGUUACAUGGUCUUCACCAGCAGAAUUCUCUCCAGCUAUAACAACGUAAUGCUCCCCGAACUUGUGUAUAUCAUGCUCAAGGAGGCACAAAUUCUCUCUAAGAUCAUCACGCUCUAUCUUGACAACAACCAACUCCGUCAGGUCGGCACCCAAAUAGCGAAAACGACCGGUUGCCACUACCAAAUAUGGAGCAACCUGGGCCACAAGAUAUUGGAGAUCAGUCGCCAUAUGGGAAUAAGAAAGAAGCUCCAAUAACUCCAAAGUGGCCGUAGGAAACUCAUGACUACACCAUUCAUGAGUAUUGGAAGGUUGCGUCAGAAGAGACCCAUGAGUGAGAUUCCACUCCGGGCGAUACACACUAUAACUUCCCAGUUGUGUAGACACAACACUAGAGAUGGCACCACUGGGAGGUGGAACCGAACAGGAACUGGAGGGAACUCUAAAACAAAUCAGGCACAUCAGGCACGAUGCAAGAAAUCAAUAUUAUGUUUCUUGCAUAAUCGGACCAAUCGUGCUGGCCCCAACAUCAGCCACGAGCGCGAAGUCUACCCAAGAUAUGCGCCGCUUAACGGUGGCCCGACUACCACCAACGGACUCUCCCUUCACCGUUUGUUCCCCGACAAAACAAAACGAAGGAUCACCACGCGAACCACCGUCUACACCUAUACCCAACGGACCAAAGUCGAAUUGAGCGCCAGGCCCUUCGUGCGCAACAAUGGAAGGAACGUUCAGAACAAGUGCACAAUUAGCGCCAGUGGGUGGUGGGAGAACCUCCACCAAAGGGACUUCGUGAUACUGAAGGUCACCCUUAAACUUCCCACGCAACACUCUCUCGAGGGUCAAAACCCUCUCAGCACCUACAAAUGAAACAACAAUCGUCAAAUUAAAAACUUCCUCCCCAAGGAAAGCUCCUUAAAGAGAAAAAAUAAUGGGGGCGGGAAACGACAAUUACUGUUUUUCUUCAUCUAAAAUUGAGGCAUCAUCCCCCGGGAUCGCCAAGCAGCACUCAUUCUUGUCGUCGCCGGGAUGCAGUCUUGCCAAUCUUCCCUGUUGAAGCAAAUCCUCUUCAAUGCUUAAACUAUAGGCAAACUACUGCCCGAAAGCUGAGGUGCCUAAUCUGAAGAGAUGGUCACAUGAGGAUAGCCAGGACCAAUCAGGUCAUUGUUAACCCAUAACCAUCGUUCCUUCCAUUUCAUUCGAGGAGCCCUCUAGUUAACAAUAAACAUGUGAGUAUUGCGCUGCUCAGAAAAAGUAUGUAUGCCAGACUGGGUGGACGAGUUAAAGAAAAUCUGGAAGGCCUGGAGCUGAGGAAGUACACCCAAGGCUCAACGGGCCAAAUCAAACCCAAUAAUCUUAUUAACGACUUUAGGAGUGAGGUCGUCUACGAAGAAAUCAUACGCACGCAUAACCUCAUCAAAGAAUCUAUCCUUCCCCGCCUCGGAAAUCAACACAGGGAGUCCAACCUUCCCUACCGACGGCUGGUAGAAAAUAGCCCCUUCCUUCGGAAAUUGCACUCUGUGUCCAAGAAUGAACCCAAACCAGAAUUGAAGAGACUCGAACUCUUUUGGUGUCCAGUCACUCCUAGAUCUCAUGGGUGUCAUCAUAGACCUCAAACAGAAAACGGUAAGGAAAGAAUAUCCCAAAGAAGAAGACUAAGACUGUCGGAGCGUAUGAGAUACAAAGAGCAAAACCACCCCUAAUAAAGGGGACUUUUAAAUACAAAGCAGGAGAAUCGAACGGUUACCACGGUAAAAAUUGUUUGUGCAGAACGGCUCUGUCGCAUCAAUGAACAUCAGAGCCAUCCCCACCGGACGCGUGUCCUGAUCAAGGCUAGAAUAACUCAGCUACGUCAUCCCUAACGCAGAAGUCUACUAACCUAAGGGGACUUGUUAACGUAUCCCACCAGAAAUACAUCAAAGGCAACAAAGUGGUUAUCUAAAGGACGACCUAGCUAAUGGUCGUCGCGACCUCAUUUAGAGCCAAUGCUGUAGCGCAAAGGUCUAACUCAAUACAAGAGGCUCCGGUCUAUAACAAGCCAAAACAAUACAAAUUGCUCCCUAGAAACGACAAGUGUAGCGCUUAGAGCACUGCUCUUCGAUAAUUCUGAACCAAUAGCAGAUAACCGCUAGUGGUGAACGGCCAAUAGGACGUCUCCACGACCCGCCAGUCCUGAAAAGACAGAAGGUAUUGUCGGGGACAUGCUCCAUCGACGAUAGGUAUAAAAGAGAUCCUUCUUCUCCAAAAGAAGGGAUCAUCUCUUUCUCUAUCUCUAAUAAAAUUUUAAUUCCCUCAUACAACUUCUGACUAGACCGUCGGAGUCUCGUUCUGGGACCCCCUCCUAGACGACGACAAACGUCGGCUCUUUCUUUGCUAUGAUUCUUAGGCUUAACCAGACGACACAAUCCACAAACUGCGUUAAGCUCGAAGACAUAUCAGAACUAUAUAUAUAUAUAUAUAUAUAUAUAUAUAUAUAUAUAUAUAUAUAUAUAUAUAUAUAUAUAUAUAUAUAUAUAGAGUAAGAGAGAGCUAGGUUCAGGUGUUUAAACUAAUUAUUGUGUUAUUGUAUGCAUAAAUGUGGGCCAAUCAAAAUUAAAUAAAAAAAUUAAAUAAUUAAAUAAAUAAAUAAGGGUAAUUUAGUCAUUUGUUUAAUAACUUCCAAAAAUAAUCCUUAUAAUCAUGGUAUCUCUCCAAUUUAAAUCUCGUUCCCCUCUUUAUCUAAAAACAGAUUCUGAAAACCCUAAGUUGAACAAAUCGACACCAACGAUCCUUUGUGGGGUUGACCUUCAUCGUCACUUUCAAAACUCCUCGUUCCACCGAUUCCACCGUAUAGAAACAUCGACCCACAAAAUUUACCAGACGACCACCACCAUAUUCCUGUUUUUCCGGUUGAUGAGCACCACCAUCAUCUUCAUCGCCGAUAACUACACCAUUAUCUUAAUGGAAAUUUAGUUACCAUCCCUACAAAACCUUCGUUCACCCCUAUACCCUUAUUUCACCGUAUCCAUCAUCGCAUUAAUACCAUCGGGGUUCCUUUUUCUCAAUUUCAUUCGAUCAUUGAUUAGUAGUAGUAGUAAUAUCAAUGGAGGUCGCUGGCGUUGUACUCUGUUAGUCUCCGAGCUUCUCUUCGAGCGAUGGUAAUGCCUUCAACUCCCUGCACGUGUACUCUUUUCCGAAGAUGAAACCGACCAGAUCUUUCUGUCUUCAACAAUCAUUCAAUGUGAAGUCCCUUGCUGCAUCCGUGGGUUUUGAUGGGUUUUCCGACAAGAGCCACCAAACACAUGCUCGAUUCCGAGACCCAUCUCAUAGCGAAUCAAGAUCUAACCUUUGAUUUCGGAUUUAAGGUAUAUAUGAAGAAAUAGGACACGAAGAGGGUAAUUUUGAAGAAAUAAUUAAGUUGAGGGAUGUUAUGAAGAACUUGAAAUAAUUAAGGUGAUCUUAGGUGUACACUCAAAGCUAGCAAAGAGGGGAUCUUUAAACUUACUGUUGGUGAAAUGUGCAACAGAUUAGAAAGGCUGUUAAAGCAAUGAAGAAGAUGGAGGCUCCUCUAUCCCCUGUUCAGUUCUUGCCUGUAAUCGAUGAAGACAAUAAGUUGAUAGGUAUUGUCACACUACAUGGAUUGGUGUCAUUUGGGCUUUGAAGGUUAUAUAUAUAUAUAUAUAUAUAUAUAUAUAUAUAUAUAUAUAUAUAUAUGCAUUACUUCUUCAUUUGUAUCAUGUAGCUAUUGAGGAAUGCCUAUAAUCGUAUAUUACUAUUCUUUUGAUUUAUUGAUUUUUUACUACUCUUUAGAGAUGUAUGUGUUUCUAAGUAGAUCAAUCAUGUCGAGGGUUACACAAAAUUUCCCACCAUGGUUUUAGUUGAUUUGAAGGUUUUGGGUUUGAUUGGUUGAACACAAAUCAUGGUUGUUUUGGUUGCUUAUUUGACAGAUGAAUGCUUCAACUGAAUUGAAAGUUGUUUUCAUGCACACCAAGUGCUCGCUAAAAUGUUUCAACUAAAUGAUAUUUCUUAGUUUAUAGAAUUCUAUCAGAAAAGAAUGUUUUUUAUGAUAAUCAUGAAUAUAUUCUGUUAGAAUUCCCCGAAUGAAUAUAAUUAUUGGUAAAUGAAUUCCAAUUCUAUCAUAAUGGAAUCACGAAUUCCAAUUAUAUUGGAAUGGAGUAUGAAUAUUUUCUCACUAAUUUAUUCAUUGUAUUUGUUUCUACAAAUGCUGA